GAGGGUAUUGCUCAGUGGUAGAGUGUGCGCUUAGCAUGCACAAGGUCCUGGAUUCAAUCCGCAGUACCUCCA
rfam:Camelus ferus unplaced genomic scaffold scaffold344, whole genome shotgun sequence.